GGAAGUGUGACUCAGUUGGUAGAGUGCUUGCCUAGCAAGAAUGAGACCCUGAGUUCAAAUCCCAGUGCUGCCA
rnacentral:tRNA from 1 species